rnacentral:misc_RNA from 1 species
GAUGAAGAACGCAGCGAAAUGCGAUAAGUAAUGUGAAUUGCAGAAUUCAGUGAAUCAUCGAAUCUUUGAACGCACAUUGCGCCCAUUAGUAUUCUAGUGGGCAUGCCUGUUCGAGCGUCAUUAAGUCCACUUAAGCCCUGCUUAGUGUUGGGAGACUGCUCCAGCGGUGCUACCCUGUAGCUACCCUGCAGCUCCUCAAAGACAGCGGCGGAGUUGUGGUAUCCUCUGAGCUUAGUAACUUGUUCUAGCUUUCGAGUACACCACUUCCCCUGCCGUAAAACCCUUAAUUUUUAAUGGUGGACCUCGGAUCAGGUAGGAAUACCCGCUGAACUUAAGCAUAUCAAUAAGCGGAGGA